rnacentral:rRNA from 1 species
UACGUAGGGUGCAAGCGUUGUCCGGAAUUAUUGGGCGUAAAGAGCUCGUAGGCGGUUUGUCGCGUCGGCUGUGAAAGCCCGGAGCUCAACUCCGGGUCUGCAGUCGAUACGGGCAGACUUGAGUGUUGCAGGGGAGACUGGAAUUCCUGGUGUAGCGGUGAAAUGCGCAGAUAUCAGGAGGAACACCGAUGGCGAAGGCAGGUCUCUGGGCCGAUACUGACGCUGAGGAGCGAAAGCGUGGGGAGCGAACAGG